rfam:Mesocricetus auratus contig019458, whole genome shotgun sequence.
CACAUUUUUAAAGAACAUAUGUGUGUUCACUAAACUGGAACUGUACAGUGAUUAGCAUGUCCCCUGCACAAGGAUGAAAUACAAAUUCAUGAAUUAUUCCAUUAAAAA